AAGUUAGCCAAUUAAAAUAGAACCACACAUAUAAGUAAUCCCAAGAAAGAGGCAAGUGAUUUUGCAAAUAGCCUCAUGAAAUAAAAAUGUGUGCUUGAAUACUUGGGGGGUGGGGAGGGCAGGGCAGGGCUGGGCAGGGCAGGGCAGCAGGGGGAAUAGUCUAGGGGAGAGUAAAGGAAGAGGGAAAAGUAUCAGCCAGCCUACUAGGUCAGCUAAUUAUACUUAUUUUUAUGCCAUUCAAACGUAAUUGAGAAUGGGAAUGUGGUCCAUUGAAUGACCUACAUUAGCAGCAGAUUUCUGUAUUCCUUUAGGGCAGCAAGCAACCAUUUUAAUAACUGCAUAAGUCCAGAGAGUGCUGUGACUUCAUUAGGUCAGAGUUGUGGUGGGAGAUGCCCCUGACAGACUGACAGAGACCAUAACAUAAUUUUCAGGAGAAAAAAAAAAAGAAAAAAAAAAAAGAACGAUGCAAAAUUCCACUCCCCCUCUCCCCCCAAGACAAUUUCCCAGGAUGAAAAAAAGAAGGUUCAAGCUCCUCAGCUGUCUGAAGAUGUUAGAUGUUUCCAAAAAAAAAAAAAAAAAAAAAGAAGAAGAAAAAAAGAAAAAAAAAAGACUGACCUUGUUGCUUGAAAGUAGCUUAUUGGUAAAGAGGGAAAAGACAAAAGGAAUCUCCCUGACUGAAGUUUGCUAUGUUGAACAGAGAUUUACCAAAUAAAUAACGUACAUCACUUCAAGCAUUAAGGUCAUUUUUAAUUCUGACCUGAAAUCUGAAAAUGACCUACAGAAGACUUUUAGAAGAAGGUGACAGGAGCUGUUGAAGUCCAGUGGAGGUGUGAAGAAAAUACAGGAAAAAAAGUUAAUACUUUCCCUACCAGUUCUUGACUGCCUUAUUGGCCCUUUGGUAACAAUGGAAAAUUAAGCACUUUUCCCCCUACCCCCUGCCCCCACCCCUCAACUUUUUUUUUUUUUCUCUCUUCGGUACUGGUAAUUUAUAGGUAUUUGUAAGCAUUAUAUACCAGGGGAA
rnacentral:lncRNA from 1 species